rnacentral:tRNA from 1 species
AAGUUACUAAAUGCUCUCUUUCUUAUAUUUUCAAAAUAUAUGCUUUGUUAUAAGCUAAGCAACUUA